UACGUAGGGGGCUAGCGUUGUCCGGAAUCAUUGGGCGUAAAGAGCGUGUAGGCGGUCCGGUAAGUCCGCUGUGAAAGUCGGGGGCUCAACCCUCGAAUGCCGGUGGAUACUGUCGGGCUAGAGUGCGGAAGAGGCGAGUGGAAUUCCUGGUGUAGCGGUGAAAUGCGCAGAUAUCAGGAGGAACACCUGCGGUGUAGACGGCUUACUGGACCAUAACUGACGCUGAGGCACGAAAGCGUGGGUAGCAAACAGG
rnacentral:rRNA from 1 species